rnacentral:rRNA from 1 species
CUACGGAGGGUGCGAGCGUUAAUCGGAAUUACUGGGCGUAAAGGGUGCGUAGGCGGCUUGAUAAGUCGGAUGUGGAAGCCCCGGGCUUAACCUGGGAAUUGCAUUCGAUACUGUCAGGCUAGAGUAUGUCAGAGGUUGGCGGAAUUCCUGGUGUAGCGGUGAAAUGCGUAGAUAUCAGGAGGAACACCAGUGGCGAAGGCGGCUAACUGGGACAAUACUGACGCUGAGGCACGAAAGCGUGGGGAGCAAACAGGAUUAGAUACCCUAGUAGUCC